UCCACAGUUUCUGUGGGAAGAUCAAGAUCUCUGUAAUGGCAACAGCAGUUUUGAAUAGAUCGGUGAAUUUCCAUGAAAAGAUUACAGAAAGACAACCCCAAACGCAUGCCUGGAUAAAGGCUGGCAAUAACCCAUCAGAGAUUAUCCGGAAGACCCUUCAGGCAGGAGGCGUGCUUUAGAAGAAACAAACAAACACAAAAAUCCCCAACCCCUCAUGAACAGCAGCAGCAAACGGUCACUUCGGCAGAGGGAUGAUUUAACAGGUUAGUUGCUGGAAAGAAAACCAAAAGAAUGAACAGCUAGUUUCAUCAUAUCAUUUUUCAAAACUAUCGUGAAAAUUUGGAUAUGAUUGUAAACUGUCAGAACAAAAACUUGGUUUUUAUUACGUAAAUCUGCAUGACUUGUGCAGCAAGCCACAGCAAGCCUCUACUCAGCCCUGGUCAGGCCUGACCUGGAGUACUGUAUCCAGUUCUGGGCUCCCCAGUACAAAAAAGACAGGGAUCUCCUGGAAAGAGUCCAACGAAGGGCAACACAGAGGAUACGGGACCUGGAGCAUCUUCCCUAUGAGGAAAGGAAGAGACCUGCAUCUGUUCAGCCUUGAGAAGAGAAGACUGAGAGAGGGGAUCUUAUUAAUGUUUACAAAUACCUUAACUGUGGG